UACGUAGGGGGCAAGCGUUGUCCGGAUUUAUUGGGCGUAAAGAGCGUGUAGGCGGCCAGGUAGGUCUGCUGUGAAAACUCGAGGCUCAACCUCGAGACGUCGGCGGAAACCAUCUGGCUAGAGUCCGGAAGAGGAGAGUGGAAUUCCUGGUGUAGCGGUGAAAUGCGCAGAUAUCAGGAGGAACACCGGUGGCGAAGGCGGGUCUCUGGGCCGAGAUUGACGCUGAGGAGCGAAAGCGUGGGGAGCGAACAGG
rnacentral:rRNA from 1 species